rnacentral:lncRNA from 10 species
GUGGGAGUGUGAAUUAGUUCAAUCAUUGUGGAAGACAGUGUGACGAUUCCUCAAGGAUCCACAACUAGAAAUACCAUUUGACCCAGCAAUCCCAUUACUGGGUAUAUACCCAAAGGAAUAUAAAUCAUUCUACUAUAAAGACACGUGCACAUGUAUAUUUAUUGCAGCACUGUUCACAAUAGCAAAGACUUGGAACCAACCCAAAUGCCCAUCAAUGAUAUACUGGAUAAAGUAAAUUUGGGACAUAUGCAACACAGAAUUCUUUUUUUUUUUUUUCUUUCAGCCAUUUCUUUUUAUUUACAGUUUGUGUUCAAUGCAAAUCAAUUCCAUAAGAAGUUACUAUGAAUCAAAGCGUAAAUACACAAACACAAUAUACAAUCCAAAAUAGAUGUACAGCAUUCUGGAAUAAAGCAAAAGAGUGUUCAUUCACACACACAGUAGCUUCAAAACGGUUCGAUCUGUUUGUUCUCAUGUAGUUUUGUAAAGAUGGAAAAAAAGGACUUUGGUCAUCAAGACUACUGUGGCCAUAUUAGAUUACUGGAACAUCUAAGCAUCAGUGUGUGACCAUGCGAACAAAAGACUUCGGGGAGUGUCUAUUUUUAAAAAGGUUUCUGUGUUUCGAGGCAGUUGUAAAAGAUUUACUGCAGAAUCAAGCCCACUUUUAGGCUUAGGACCAGGUUCUAACUAUCUAAAAAUAUUGACUGAUAACAAAAAGUAUUCCAAAUGUGGCUAUUCUGAUCCAUAGUUGUUUUUUAAAGAAAAAAAAGUAUAUACAGAAAGAGUAUAAAAGUUUGUGAAUUUAAUGCAAAUUAGCUUCCAGUCUUCACUUCCCAAAUACUUGAUUUGUAGUUUUGACUCCUUUACAUUUUUGCCUUCUUAAUUUCAAGAUUUGCAAUUUUGCCUUCAAAACAGAUCUUUUUUUUUAAUUGUAAAAAGUAUUCAACAUAUGCAGAAAUAAAAAGCAUUUUGAUGGCUGGGCGCGGGGGCUCAAGCCUGUAAUCCCAGCACUUUGGGAGGCCGAGGCAGGUGGAUCACCUGAGGUCAGGAGUUCGAAACCAGCCUGGGCAACAUGGUGAAACCCUGUCUCUACUAAAAUUACAAAAAUUAGCCGGGCAUGGUGGCAGGUGCCUGUAAUCCCAGCUACUUGGGAGGCUGAGGCAGGAGAAUCGCUUGAGCCCGGGAGGCAAAUGGUACACUGAUCUGAGAUCACACCACUGCACUCCAGCCUGGGCGACAAAGUGAGACUGUCUAAAAAAUAAUAAUAAUAAAAAGCAUUUUGAAAUUAGUCGCGGUCAAUGCAAUUCUACUCUUUGGAAUCCGUUUAGCUAAAUGAAUGUAGUGCUCUUGUUGAAUGGAAAUAGGUGAUAGGAAAUGCCUACCAUUUGACUCAAUAUGGAUAAUCAAGAGUUGCUCAGGCUGCUUGGAUCUGGGGGUAGAUUCUCAUUCAUCAUUGCCCUGGCACAUGUCAAUUACUACAUAAAAGGUCAAACGCAAUGUCAAAUCCAAAGCCUCAGGAGGAAAGUGAGUUCAGUUCCCAAGAGAACAGCAAUAGCUCAACAAUGUAAAACUUCAUCUAGAGUAUAUCGGCAUUAAAUAAGUGCUGCCGAAACAAUACGUUGAGGAAUUACAGUAACACCUGGAAGUUCCUUCUCAUGUACAUAUAAAUAGAAUCAUGUUCUUCAAAUCAAUCAAAUUUGGGAUUCUCAACAUUUUCUGUGUCAAUAAAAGGUGUGGAAUUAG